UGCGUAUGGUGCAAGCGUUAUCCGGAAUGACUGGGUGUAAAGGGAGCGUAGACGGUUGUUCAAGUCUGAUGUGAAAGCCCUCGGCUUAACUGGGGGAGUGCAUUGGAAACUGAAGGACUAGAGUAUCGGAGAGGCAAGUGGAAUUCCUAGUGUAGCGGUGAAAUGCGUAGAUAUUAGGAGGAACACCAGUGGCGAAGGCGGCUUGCUGGACGAAAACUGACGUUGAGGCUCGAAAGCGUGGGGAGCAAACAGG
rnacentral:rRNA from 1 species